rnacentral:rRNA from 1 species
AGUGAACGCUGGCGGUAGGCCUAACACAUGCAAGUCGAACGGCAGCACAGGAGAGCUUGCUCUCUGGGUGGCGAGUGGCGGACGGGUGAGGAAUACAUCGGAAUCUACUCUGUCGUGGGGGAUAACGUAGGGAAACUUACGCUAAUACCGCAUACGACCUACGGGUGAAGGCAGGGGACCUUCGGGCCUUGCGCGAUUGAAUGAGCCGAUGUCGGAUUAGCUAGUUGGCGGGGUAAAGGCCCACCAAGGCGACGAUCCGUAGCUGGUCUGAGAGCAUGUGCAGGCGCACUGGAACUGAGACACGGUCCAGACUCCUACGGUAGGCAGCAGUGGGGAAUAUUGGACAAUGGGCGCAAGCCUGAUCCAGCCAUACCGCGUGGGUGAAGAAGGCCUUCGGGUUGUAAAGCCCUUUUGUUGGGAAAGAAAUCCAGCUGGCUAAUACCCGGUUGGGAUGACGGUACCCAAAGAAUAAGCACCGGCUAACUUCGUGCCAGCAGCCGCCGUAA